rnacentral:rRNA from 1 species
CAGUCGCCGCGGGAAUACGUAGGGUGCGAGCGUUAAUCGGAAUUACUGGGCGUAAAGCGUGCGCAGGCGGUUCGUUAAGACAGAUGUGAAAUCCCCGAGCUUAACCUGGGAACUGCAUUUGUGACUGGCGAGCUAGAGUAUGGCAGAGGGGGGUAGAAUUCCACGUGUAGCAGUGAAAUGCGUAGAGAUGUGGAGGAAUACCGAUGGCGAAGGCAGCCCCCUGGGCCAAUACUGACGCUCAUGCACGAAAGCGUGGGGAGCAAACAGGAUUAGAUACCCCGGUAGUCCCUGUCUCUUAUAC